UUCGGAACUCCUCGGCCAUUUUAUCGAAAACAACCUCGGAUGUAUUUGGAUGGUUUACACCCUCAAAAAGUGAUGUACCGGCAUACAUCCGAGGUUGUUUUCAAUAAAAUGGCCCAGGAGCUCCGAAUGCCUAAUUAUCUUGGUUAGCGCUAAAGAUCAUACCAAUACCGAAUCGACACAAGCAAUGAUCAUACAGAUGGAAAUACAAUUAAAAUUGUUGUCUGCCACCAUAAAUCUAAACAUGUACGAAAAAUGUUUCUUUUCAUUCCUUGGAUGUGCAAGAAAAUCUUUUAUGUACCAGAUUGUACAGUUCCUAGUAAUGAGAAAUGGCUAGAUGUUAUACAAUAUCAUACUUCAUGAUGUCACCAACAAUGUCAUGUUCUGAGUAUUGGGAAAUAGUUGGAGACUCAGCAGUGCAGAAACUAGUUUACUCAGAAUGUUUGUUCCAACUCACGGAUGAUAUUGUCAGAUAAGAGCACAUUGGCAAGUUGCAGACGUUGACUUUCUGAAUUACAGAAAAUAGUUUCAGUCAGGAUACCAGAAAGCAUCAGGACUUCCAGGGCAUGGCUAUAGCUCCUCCUGAAAGAACAUUAGAAACACUUGAUUAUUUGUGUGAAAUACUUUGAAAUAAAAAAGACUCUUUCUGCAUGAUUUAAUUCCUAAAGAAAAUCAAUAAACCUGAAAAAUGAUUUAUAUAUAUAUGCAUAUAUAUGUAAAAAUAUGUUCCAAUAAAAGUAUCAAUUAUUA